rnacentral:rRNA from 1 species
AUAAAAGGAUCAAUAGGUUGCAUGGUGGAUGGCUUGGCUCGGGGGCCGAAGAAGGGCGUGGCAAGCUGCGAUAAGCCUGGGGUAGCUGCAUGCGAGCUUUGAACCCAGGAUUCCCUAAUGGGACCUCCUAGCGCAAGCUGUUCCUUCAUGGAACGGGGACGCGGGGAAUUGAAACAUCUUAGUACCCGCAGGAAAAGAAAGCAAUAGCGAUGCCGUUAGUACCGGCGAGGGAAAGCGGCACAGGGCAAACCGAACGCUUUGGCGAUGAGCCAAAGCGGAUGUGGGGUUUGGGCCUGGGUAUUCCCUAGCUGUACGAGCCGAAGUCCCCUGGAAAGGGGUGCCAUAGAGGGUGAUAGCCCCGUAGGCGUAGUACAGAAGGGAAAUUCCCAGAAUCCCAGAGUACCGCUCCUCGGAUAUGGAGUGGGAAGAUGGGAGCCAAUAACUCCCAACCCUAAAUACACCCCGAGUCCGAUAGCGCACUAGUACGGUGACGGAAAGCUGAAAAGUAUCCGUAACAGGAGGUGAAAAGAGCCUGAAACCAUGCAACCAUAGGUUGAUAUGGCCAUGCCUUCGUGGUCAUAUCGCCCGUUUCGAAACACGCGGCAGGGAGUUUACCUCUGUGGCGAGGUUAAGAAAAGAAGCCAAAGCGAAAGCAAAACUCCCGCAACUCGCAAGAGUGAGGGGAGUGGGUGUGAAAGCGCCCUGAGUCACAGGGGUAAGACCAGAAGCCGGUCGAUCUAGUCCUCGGCAGGGUGAAGUCCCACGAAAGUGGGAUGGAGGCCCGCACCUAUUGCUGGGAUUCAAACCGCUUAGUUGACCGAGGACUAGGGGUGAAAAGCCAAUCGAGAUCGGCGAUAGCUGGUUCCCCCCGAAAUGAACCUAAGUUCAGCCCAACCAGAGGUCGCUGGCAGGGUAAAGUUACUGAUUGGGUAACCAAGGGUCGAAAGGCCCAGUUACCCUGUCAAACUCAGAAUCUGCCAGCACCGUAGAAGGUUGGAGUGGGGGCAUCGGGGUAAGCUCGAUGUCCGAGAAGCAAACAAGCUAGACCAGGGUUAAGGUCCCAAAGUGCCUGCUAAGUGAGGAAAGGUGUCUUUAACCUAAGACAGCGGGGAGGUUGGCUUAGAAGCAGCCAUCCUUUAAGCCUUUUUACGGGAGCUUAUGCUUCCUCAAAAAGGCUUAAGCGAAAAAACACCGUAAAAAGGGAGGAUAGAGUGCGUAAUAGCUCACCCGCCCAGGUUAAAGGCCCUGAAAAUGGACGGGACUAAGCAGGCCACCGAGACCCUGGACCACGAAAGUGGGUGUAGGGGGGUGUCCUGCUAGGGUAGAAGCCCUUGCGUGAGCUGGGGUGGACCUAGCAGGAACAAGAAUCCUGCCAAUAGUAACAGCAAGGUUAGGUGAAAUUCCUAACCACCUAAAGGGCUAGGUUUCCUCAGCAACGAUCAUCGGCUGAGGGUUAGUCGGUCCUAAGGCAAACCCUAACAGGAGUUUGCCGAAAGGGAAGCAGGUUAAUAUUCCUGCACCACAGAGGUACACGCGGUGACGCAAGCUCCACUUCCGACGCUUUGGGAUAGGCCAACCACGCAAGUGGCUAACCAAUUAAGCCUGGGGAGUACCGUAAUGGUGAGAACCAGGUGAAGUUGGGAAUGGCCCCCGUUAGGGGGUUUGGCCGACUCCUAGAGACAAUGAAAAGGAAGUGGAGAAGGAUCCUCUGUGACCGUACCGAGAACCGUCACAGGUGACCCUUGCUGAGAAGGCAAAGGUGUGACGGGAUAACCCAGCCUAGGGAAUUCGGCAAAUUAGCCCCGUAUCCUCGGUAUAAGGGGUGCCUACUGUUCUAGCUUGGCUAGAAUCAGUAGGUCGCAGUGACAAGGGGGGUCCGACUGUUUAACAAAAACGUAGGGGGCUGCUAGUCCGAAAGGAUUUGUACAGCUCCUGAGGCCUGCCCGGUGCCGGUGUGUGAAACCUCCUUUCAAGGAGGCUAAGCCCCGGUAAACGGCGGCGGUAACUCUGACCGUCUUAAAACCCUUUCUUAAAAAGAAAGCGUUUACGGAAAGAAAGGGUUGGAAAAAGGUAGCGUAAUCCCUUGCCGAUUAAUUGUCGGCCUGCAUGAAGGGCUUAACGAGAUCCCCACUGUCCCAGGCUGGGACCCGGUGAAAUUAAUGUCCUGCGCAUAUUCAGGAGACCUCCAGCGGGACGAGAAGACCCCGUUGAACUUUACUGCAGUCUGUUGCUGUGGUAUGGCGAUGGAUGCAGAGCGUAGGUGGGAGCAAUGCAGCAUAACUUUCGGGUUAUGUAAAGGCGACAAUGUAACACCACCCUUCUGUUGCCAUAUCACUAACCCUUCGGGGGACAGCAGCAGAUGGGCAGUUUGGCUGGGGCGGUACGCCUCUGACAAGAGAUCAGAGGCGCCCUAAGGUCGGCUCACCCGGGUCAGAAAUCCGGGGAAGAGUGCAAGGGCAAAAGCCGGCUUGACAGGAUUCCACACAGCAAGGAAUCCUGCCGCGAAAGCGUGGCCUAGCGAUCCGCUGUGCUCCAUUAUUGGGAGCCAGCUCUGUCAGAAAAGCUACCACGGGGAUAAUGGAGUCGUGGCGGGUGAGAGUUCAUAUCGACCCCGCUCGUUGCUUCUCCGCCGUCGGCUCGGCUCUCCCUGGGCGUGCAGCAAAGCCUUUCUUUACACGAGCUAAAGCUUCCUCAAGAAAGCCUUUAGGGAAAGAAAUAUGAAGAAAGGCUCUGUACGCGCCCAAGGGUGGGGGUGUUCACCCAUUAAAGAGUCACGUUAGCUGGGUUAAGUACGGUGCGAGCCAGUACGGUCUUUAUCUGCUGGAGGUGCUAGCCACCUGAGGGGAAGAUGCCCUUAGUACGAAAGGAACAGGGCGUCGCGGCCUCUGGUUUACCGGUUGUCCAAGCAUUGCCGGGUAGCUACGCCGUAGCGGAUAAGGGCUGAAGGCAUCUAAGCCCGAAGCCGCCCCCAAAAAGAGGUGGCUAU